CACGCUUUGGACAUAACCUCAGGGCUACAAAGCAAAAUACCCAGAGGCAGUGGAAAAACAUGGCGACAUUUAGAGUUCUAAAGAUCCAGAAUGGCUCUGCUUCUUUUCGGCAUACAUGCAUUCGUGACGGGUCACGCUCAACAACACUGGACAAAGGGCAAAUCUUUGGCUCUGGACUCCAGUUGUGUGCAUCUGGGGCUCCAGCAGAGCCUGAGAGCACGAUUUCCUAUAGAGACCAAAGGCACCCACACACAGUCAAAUGUCAAGCACAGAGGAGGGCGAGAGCUGAAGUCAAAAAAUGGGGAGGCGAAGACAAAGCACGUUUCACUAUGGUGAACUUUGGUGUGGCACACUGGAAAGGGCAGUGUUUAACUCUAUGACACUGAGAACUACCACGCACAUUCCUCCAAGGUCGUCUGAGGGAAGAAAAAAAAAAAAAAAAAGGCCCAGUCUGUUCCCCUCUAAACCACGUUUCCAUGUAAUUUAGUGCAUUUGCUACAGCGCACUUAUCAUUGGGGUAAAGCUUAAGGGUAGGAAUGAUUUGGCAUAGCAGAGAUAACUGGUUGGGAUCAGGGUAAGGUUGAGAUCAAUUUUAUCAAUCUCAGACUAAUUCAGGCUGGUGAUAAUGUCCCAUUCACAUUUAGAUAAGAGGAAAACAUCAGGGAACAUCAGCACUCUUCAAUCCAUAUGGAAUGAGUCUUCAUCAACUUACAGCUCUUGUCGACAGGAUUUUUUUUUUCUUUUUCUUCAAUAUCCUGGCUCUUAAAAUCAAGAGCCAUCAAGCGGUGCGGGUUCGUAGCUUAGCAAAGUUGUACUAAAUACAACCAGAAUUCAUACAUAGGGAUGGGUACCGGUAUCCGGUGCCAUGAUGGCACCGGUUCUGACAUAAACGGUAGUAACCAGACCGAAAAGCAGCGCACAUUUCGGUGCUUUUUUUUUUCCUGAGCUGUAAUACACUUUUAAUUCUAGCCAAUCAUUUUACGUUUCCGAGGAUAGUAGGCGGGGCCAGGUACGUACGUUCUUUUAGAGCAGAGCUACAGAUUAAAAAUGCCCAAGGCAAAGCGGUCAAAAGUCUGGCUGUACUUCACAGCAAAAUAUGCAAACUCAGCAGCCUGCAACAAGUGCUUUAAGCUGAUACUUUGAUACUGUCAAAGGAGGUAACACCUCAAAUCCGAUUAAACACCUGGCGACGCAUAGCGUUUUUUUUAAAAAGCUGAGAAAUGCGCCGUAUUUGAUAGCUUGCUGUGAGACCUCACACCGAGCACAUCUACUGCGGGUGGGUUGCCUGUUAUGCAACAUCCCCCAAAAACCCGAAGAGGAGAGUCCUGGCCCCUAGCCCUGCCAGUGUAGCAGAAAUGAUGAGGAUGAUGAUGCAGCAGCAGCCGUUCUUCUCUGCGUGAGUAGCUUCAUGUUGUUCGUGUGUAAUUUACGUUGAGUAGGCUAACCACGUUAUUACAUUAAUGCAUGUAAGGUGAACUAGCAAACCUCAUCAUAGCUACAUGCGGCUGUCCUCUUGUUUGAUGGCAGAUACUCCCUUCACCCUGGCCAAAAAGGCAAAAAUGACCAAAGAAAAAGUGGAAAACAGUUAAACAUGAGAGGUUUUUGGACAAAGUUUGUGGUUUUUUUCCAUUGUUUAAGCACUGCUUCCAGCCAAGAGUGAUACCAUAUAUGCCCCAUAGCUGCAGAAAAGGCUAACAUUGUUACCUUUUUACACAAAAAAAAAAAAAAAAAAAAAAAAAAACCACACAGCUGAACAUGAGAGGUUUUUGGACCAAUUUUGUGUUCUCCGUUCUUUAAGCACCGGUACCGUUUCAAAAGUACCGGUUUGGCACCGGUAUUGGAUGAAACCUAAACAAUACCCAUCCCUAUUCAUACAUAAGGUACACGGGAUUAUAAGGGGCACUGUCGAUUUUUAGAAAAAUCAAAAGGAUUGAUUUUAAGUGUGCCAUAUUUUAAAAAAAAAAAAAAAAAACAAAAACAAAAAAACAACAUGGUAAUAACGACGGCCCGCUAGCAUGCUCUACCAAAAAUAGUGCUUUGUUGUGUAUCUGACAGACGAAAGCUAAACCAGUUCCACACCACUGAAGUUGCAGCAUUUUUACAAACCAAUUCUGGCUCAUCCGUUUCAUUCAACAAUCCGCUUUCGCCCUUCUCAUUCUCCGUUCCUGCCAUGUGCGUAUAAAAACAAAGGCACUGCUCAUGCGCGUUUUACCCACAUUGCGAUAUUUCAUUUUCUUAUCGUUGCCCAACAUUAUACCAGUAUUACCAUGAACGGUAUGAUAUGGCCCAGCCUUAGCUAUGAGUAAGAAACACUUUGUUACAGGUUUUACUCCCUUGGUGUAGAAAGAAGCCCCUUUCAAGAUGGUCCAUCUACAUGACCACUGCAGUCUUCAGUGUGUAUGCAGUUUCAGAUAAUGCGUAAUACUCAGACUUUAAUAGGACUUAAAGGAAAUAUUCCUAGCUGGAGCUUCCCUGCAGCGUAACUCAACAUAGAUGCUGUGUGCACAUUUUGUUGAGGGUGGGGAUGAGGCAUCUGUCCGCAUGUUACCAACACAGAUCGCCUCUCUCCAGUCGUAGCCAGUAAUCAUUUAAGAGGAUCAACGCUAUUCCAGACAGCAGAGCGCCUCCACGACGCUCCGUCACCACAACACACACAGCACGUGGCGCACACAUGCUGCCUGCAGCGCUCCAGCGAUUCAUGCGCUCACCCGUGCAUAAGUGCAAAACAGAAAUGAGAGCAGAUUACGUAAUGAGUUAAAAGUAGAAUGUUUCGGGAGGUGAUGUCCUUUUGAUUUUCCACUAGAUGACACUGUGUACGUGUUGGUGGGUGGGGGGUGGAAAUGGAGUAAACAUGGGUAAAGAUACAGGAAAAGUUAGCCAUGUGAACUCCAAAAGUCCUCGAGGGAUCUCUUGAGAUGUAGAAGAACUCAUGUCUCAUUAGUGCAUGACUUAAGUCCAUCAGUAUUAAAAAAAAAAUAAUAAUAAUAAUAAUAAUGUGUUAUGGAUGCCACAUACCUUCUUUUCUCCAACGUGCUAACAUAUCUAAUCAGGACGUCAGCAUGGACAUCCAUAGAGAUUGACAGUAAUACCAAUCAUACAAGCCAGUUUGUUUCUAUGACAUUCAGGCCUUCUAUAAAUUAGAAAUCUACAAGGAUUCUGCUGGACAUCCUUUUAGUUAAGAUGUUUUUAAUGUGAAAGCAAUGGCCUGGUUAAUGUAAUACCACCAGCAGAGAAAAUAGAUGAGUAAUAUCCCAGUCCUUUUUACCCACAGUGUGACGUGGCUGUGGGCCAGUGAACCCUCUGCUGCCUUGCCUUCCUGCAGUCCAAAGAAGUUCUGCUGGACCCGACUAACCCCAAGAGAAUACCAACUCCUCCCCUAUUA
ensembl:lncRNA